AUGGACGACCUCGAGCAGGCCAUCCUGCUCGCCUCCGACUCCCCCGCCGCGGCCUCCGCCUCCCCGGCUGUCCGCGAGGAGGCGCUCGCCUUCUGCGCCCGCGCCCGCGACGAGUCCCCGCCCUCCUCGCUCCUCCGCCUCUGCCUCUCCGGCCUCGCCUCCUCGCCCCACGCGCACGUCCACUUCUGGUGCCUCCAGUCCCUCCACGACGCGCUCCUCCGCCGCCGCAUCGCCCUCCCCGACGACCUCGCCCUGCUCCGCUCCUCCCUCCUCUCCCUCGCCUCCGCCUCCAACGCCGCCUCCCCGCCCUUCCUCCGCAACAAGCUCGCCCAGCUCGUAGCCCUCCUCGUCCGCCUAGAUUACCCGCAUGUAUACCCCUCCUACUUCCUCGACCUCCUCCCGCCGUCGCCGCCGCAGUCGGGCCCCACGGACAUGUUCGCCCGCGUCCUCAUCUCGCUGGACGACGACCUGCUCUCCCAGGACUACCCUCGCAACGCCGACGAGACCGCCGACGCCUGCAGGGUCAAGGACGCCAUGCGAGCGCAGUGCGUGCCCCAGAUCGCCCGCCACUGGCACGACGCUGCCGCCACUCUUGGUGCGGCCGACCCUCCCACUGCCGCCGUAGCCCUUGAUGCGGCGCGCAGGUGCAUCUCCUGGAUCGAUGUUGCGCUGGUCGCCAAUGAUGUGUUUGUUCCUCUUCUAUUUGACAUUGCCCUGUCCCCUGCAAGUGCUGCCCCUCUUGCUGCGGCGGCGGUGGGGUGUCUUUCUGCCGUGGCUGCAAAGAGGAUGGAUGCAAGGGCGAAGGUGGCGUUGCUCAGGUCACUGCUGUCUGCACAGCAGGGGCUUGGUAGCCCAGACAGUGGGUUAAAGAUGGCAUCUUUGGUGACGACUUAUGCCGUGGAGGCUCUUGCCUGUUAUCGCAAGCUUGGCCCUAGUGAUGCCGAUGGAGCUGCGGCAUUGGAAAUGCUCGAAGAGGUGCUACCAGCUGUAUUUUCGGCAGCAGAAAGCUGCUAUGAGGAGGAUGUUGAUUCUGGUUCCGUGCUCGAGUUCUUAGCUGGCUACGUCAGUACGAUGAAGUCUCCAUCUGAGAAGCAGCUGGGGCACUUGGGACGGAUCUUAGAGGUGGUGCGGCAGCAAAUGACAUAUGACCCAGUUUACAGGGUGCAUCUUGAUGUGCUCGACAAGAUCGGGAAGGAGGAGGAGGACAUGAUGGCGGAGCAACGGAAGGAUUUAGUGGCAUUGUUCCGCAACAUUUGUCGGGUAGCGCCAGCUGCCACACAGCAGUUCAUAAAGGGGUUGAUUGUGGCGGCGCUCUCAUCCGCAGAAGCUACCGUUGAGGAUGUUGAGGUCACUCUUACUCUUUUGUACCGGCUCGGGGAAGCAGUGAGUGAGGAGGAGAUCCGUACUGGGUCUGGGCUGCUCGGGGAGCUUGUGCCCAUGCUUCUUUCUGCAAGAUUCUCGUGCCACUCGCACCGCUUAGUUGCAUUGGUGUAUCUUGAGACAGUUACACGCUAUAUCAAGUUCAUGCAAGAGAAUGUACAGUAUGUGCCACACCUUCUUGCCGCAUUCUUGGAUGAGCGUGGCAUACACCAUCAGAAUUCCCAUGUGAGCCGCCGUGCGGGAUACUUGUUCAUGAAAGCUGUCAAAUUGUUGAAGGCAAAGCUAGUGCCUUACUUGGAUACCAUUUUGCAGAGCUUGGAAGAUGUCCUAGGACAAUUCACUUCUAUGGACUGGGUAAAUAAAGAGGCAAAGCUCUCCAGCUCAGAGGAUGGCAGCCAAAUUUUUGAGGCUGUGGGGUUGUUGAUCGGUAUUGAAGAGGUAUCACCAGAGAAGCAGGUUCAGUGCUUGACAGCUUUGCUGAAUCCUCUCUGUCAUCAGAUCGAGUCGCUUGUUAUGGGUGCCAAAGCACAAGGACUCGAAGAAUCAUCCCCGAGAGCUACGACUCUUCUACAGAUUGUUGUUGCAUUGAAUAUGGUUACCAAGGGCUUUAAUGAACGCCUCGUGAUGAUAAGUAGGCCAACAAUCGGUGUCAUGUUAAAAAAGACCCUUGAUGUUGUUCUACAACUCCUUGUUUCAUUUCCUAAUGUGAGGCCCCUGCGAUCAAAGGUCAUAUCCUUUCUGCACCGCAUGAUUGAGAUAUUAGGAAUAUCGGUGCUUCCAUGUAUUCCGAUCGCACUAAGACAAUUGCUGGUUCAUGACGAGGCAAAAGAUAUGGUGGAUUUCCUUGUAUUGUUAAACCAAAUAAUAUGCAAGUUUAAUUCUUCAGCAAGUGGCAUACUGGAGGAUGUCUUUCCUACUAUUGCAAGUCGUUUGUCUGUGAUACUGUCACAAGAUGCCUUUUCUACUGGUCCUGCAGGCAAUACCGAGGAAAUGCGUGAACUGCAAGAGCUGCAGAGGACAUUAUACACAUUCCUCCAUGGGAUGGUUACACAUGAUUUAUCUACAGUUCUCCUUGCUCCUACCGGUAGGCAGUAUUUGGAAACCAUAAUGCAGUUGCUUCUGUUUACUUCAUGCAGUCAUAAAGAUAUACUGCUCCGGAAGGCGUGUGUGCAGAUUUUUGUCAAACUUAUAAAAGACUGGUGCACUACAUCCAAAGCUGAUGAUAAGCUUCCUGGCUUCCGAGUAUUCAUGAUUGAGAAGUUUGCUACUGGUUGCUGUUUAUACAGUGUGCUUGACAAAUCAUUUGAUUUACGUGAUGCAAAUACGCUUGUUGUCUUUGGUGAAAUUGUGAUGGCUCAGAAGGUUAUGUAUGAAAGGUUUGGGGAGGACUUCAUUGUAAAUUUUGUAGCAAAAGCUCUUCCAGAAGCUCACUGCCCACCAGAGCUAGCUGAACAGUACUACCAAAAGUUACAGGGAAAUGACGUAAAGGCAUUCAGGUCAUUUUAUCAAUCACUUAUCGAGAAAAUAAGACAACAGCAGAAUGGGAGUCUUGUGUUCAGAUAG
rnacentral:rRNA from 1 species